GCUGCGGGCCGGGGCCUGCGGUGGGGACGGGCCCGGGGCCGGCGUCGGGCGGGGGAGCCGCGCUGCCCUCGGGGCGCCGCGCCCGGCUCCCACCUUAUCCCCAGCGCGGCCGCCGGGGCCGCAACUUUCCCGGGGCGGCGGCGGUGUGCGGGAGUUCGGCGGGGCGCAGGGUGGGCGCAACCCCGGCAGGCAGAGCCCCCCGGCUCCGCGGAUGCAGCCCCGGCUGUGUUGGGACUCCGCGGCGCGGCCCCGGCGCGGCCCGGGGGCAGGCGGCUGAUGAAAUGGACAGGCUGGGGAAAGGGCCUGCCUCGGGCUGCCAAACUUUGUUGUCCUUGGGCUCGGCUCCUUGCGGUGUGCGGAAAAUAAUUCUUCAGAUAACUCAGAUCCUGGCACUGCUGCGGCGUUGGGGUUUAUUUCUCUUAUUCUCUCUAAGAAAGAUGGAUCCUUUCUGCCAGCCUAAAUCGCCCAUGCUAAGUAAUCAAUUUGCAGCGACUUCAGAUGCUGGAGCAGCAUGUUCUCACUUGUGUCGUUCUUGGGUUUGUGGACCCCUGAUGUUCUCCAGCUGAGCUGCGUAUGCAUUAUUGUCAUUUAAAGUCAGCCUACCAACAGGACAUCUGACUUAUAAGUAGUUCUCACACAUGCAGCGGCCCCAGAUUUCAGGUUGAGAAUUGCUGAUCUAGGACUACGUUUUCCCCUGUGCCUUAUGGAAUAUUGUGAGUCUGGCUUUAUUGCGGAUGCUCCAGCUGAUGGGUAUUCUGUUAUACCAGUGACUUUGCUGUCGUUCCAUAAGGUAAAAAAAAAUUCAGUGCUUACAAUUAUAUCUGAAGCGGCCACCUGCUGAUUAGUGCUGGAUACAUAGUUCAUAGAAACACCAGCGUCCAGCUGCUAAGAACUGUGUAGAAUUUAAUCACAUCAUUGUCAUUAAAAAGAAUUCUAUAA